AAAAGACUUGGAAAGGAAGCAAUUGACUGUCCUUGGAAUCACAUAACUCCUUCUCUCUCUGUCUCUCUGUCUCUCUGUUCCUAGUUUCUGCUUCUUAUUCUAAACACAUAAUAUUUUAUAAUAUGCAAACCAGAAAUUUUGUCUGCCAACUUGCAUCACCCCAUUUGCAUGAACAGUGAUCCUGUGAUCUAGUCCCUUGACUUAAAAACAUGAGCAAGCUUUCUUCCCCGCAACCCAGUUUGACUUGGACAGCCAAACAAAACAAAUUGUUCGAAAACGCUCUGGCAACAUAUGAUGAGGAAACCCCUGAUCGUUGGCACAAGAUAGCCAGGAUUGUUGGAGGGACGACUGAAGAGGAAGUGAAGAGGCAGUAUGAGAUCCUUCUAUCAGACAUCAAGCGCAUUGAGUCAGGCAAAGUUCCCCUUCCUAAGUAUAGGAAAGUUGGAGCAAGUAACAUCAGCAAUGAAGAAAAGAGCCUGAAGAUCCUAAAGCUCUAAAGGAAGAUGCCCUCCAGAAGAGCACCAAAUUCCUCUUAAAGUGGAUCUAGAAAUUAACUCAUAACACCCCACUCUUCCCUACCCCUUACCCUUUUUCGUUCAUGUAACUUCCAGAUGCAAUAUACUUUUGUCUUGCACAUGUACCCAGGAAUAAUCAUCCCAUAUGCUAUUGCUUA